rnacentral:rRNA from 1 species
CGGAAUCGGCAGCUACCAUGCAGUCGAGGGGCAGCGGGGAAAAGCUUGCUUUUUUGCCGGCGACCGGCGCACGGGUGCGGAACGCGUAUGGAACCUGCCCCUGUCAGGGGAAUAGCCCAGGGAAACUUGGAUUAAUGCCCCAUGGUACCGCGAUAUCGCAUGAUAUUGUGGUUAAAGAUUUAUCGGACAGGGAUGGCCAUGCGUACCAUUAGCUUGAUGGUGGGGUAACGGCCCACCAUGGCAACGAUGGUUAGGGGCCCUGAGAGGGGGAUCCCCCACACUGGUACUGAGACACGGACCAGACUCCUACGGGAGGCAGCAGUGAGGAAUAUUGGACAAUGGUCGGGAGACUGAUCCAGCCAUGCCGCGUGCAGGAUGACUGCCCUAUGGGUUGUAAACUGCUUUUAUACGGGAAGAAACGCACCUACGUGUAGGUGUCUGACGGUACCGUAAGAAUAAGGACCGGCUAACUCCGUGCCAGCAGCCGCGGUAAUACGGAGGGUCCGAGCGUUAUCCGGAAUCAUUGGGUUUAAAGGGUCCGUAGGCGGGCCGUUAAGUCAGGGGUGAAAGUCUGCGGCUCAACCGUAGAAUUGCCUUUGAUACUGGCGGUCUUGAGUCAUGGUGGGGUUGCCGGAACAUGUGGUGUAGCGGUGAAAUGCAUAGAUAUCACAUAGAACACCGAUCGCGAAGGCAGGUGACCAACCAUGUAC